rnacentral:rRNA from 1 species
UGAGGAAUAUUGGACAAUGGUCGGAAGACUGAUCCAGCCAUGCCGCGUGCAGGAUGACGGCCCUAUGGGUUGUAAACUGCUUUUAUACGGGAAGAAACCCGCCUACGUGUAGGCGGCUGACUGUACCGUAAGAAUAAGGACCGGCUAACUCCGUGCCAGCAGCCGCGGUAAUACGGAGGGUCCGAGCGUUAUCCGGAAUCAUUGGGUUUAAAGGGUCCGUAGGCGGGCCUGUAAGUCAGGGGUGAAAGUUUGUGGCUCAACCAUAAAAUUGCCUUUGAUACUGCAGGUCUUGAGUCAUGGUGGGGUUGCCGGAACAUGUGGUGUAGCGGUGAAAUGCAUAGAUAUCACAUAGAACACCGAUCGCGAAGGCAGGUGACCAACCAUGUACUGACGCUGAUGGACGAAAGCGUGGGUAGCGAACGGG